rnacentral:rRNA from 1 species
UACGUAGGUGGCAAGCGUUGUCCGGAUUUACUGGGCGUAAAGAGCGCGCAGGCGGUCGUUCAAGUCGCGUGUGAAAGCCCCCGGCUCAACUGGGGAGUGUCGUGCGAUACGGUCGGGCUGGAGGCCAGUAGGGGGAUGCGGAAUUCCGGGUGUAGUGGUGGAAUGCGUAGAUAUGCGGAGGAACACCGAUGGCGAAGGCAAUCCCCUGGGCCUGCACUGACGCUCAUGCACGAAAGCGUGGGGAGCAAACAGG